rnacentral:rRNA from 1 species
AGCAUAUCAAUAAGCGGAGGAAAAGAAACCAACAGGGAUUGCCCCAGUAACGGCGAGUGAAGCGGCAAGAGCUCAAAUUUGAAAUCUGGCUCCUUCGGGGUCCGAGUUGUAAUUUGUAGAGGAUGCUUCGGGUGCGGCCCCCGUCUAAGUGCUCUGGAACGGGCCAUCGGAGAGGGUGAAAAUCCCGUCUGGGACGGGGUGUCCGCGUCCAUGUGAAGCUCCUUCGACGAGUCGAGUUGUUUGGGAAUGCAGCUCUAAAUGGGUGGUAAAUUUCAUCUAAAGCUAAAUACUGGCCGGAGACCGAUAGCGCACAAGUAGAGUGAUCGAAAGAUGAAAAGCACUUUGAAAAGAGAGUUAAACAGC